ACUGUGUGUUGUUGGGUAGGGGAGCGUUCUGUAAGCCUGCGAAGGUGGCCUGUGAGGGUUGCUGGAGGUAUCAGAAGUGCGAAUGCUGACAUAAGUAACGAUAAAGCGGGUGAAAAGCCCGCUCGCCGGAAGACCAAGGGUUCCUGUCCAACGUUAAUCGGGGCAGGGUGAGUCGACCCCUAAGGCGAGGCCGAAAGGCGUAGUCGAUGGGAAACGGGUUAAUAUUCCCGUACUUGGUGUUACUGCGAAGGGGGGACGGAGAAGGCUAUGUUGGCCGGGCGACGGUUGUCCCGGUUUAAGCGUGUAGGUGUGUGUUCCAGGUAAAUCCGGUUCACUUUAACACUGAGGCGUGACGACGAGGCACUACGGUGCUGAAGCAACAAAUGCCCUGCUUCCAGGAAAAGCCUCUAAGCAUCAGGUAACAUCAAAUCGUACCCCAAACCGACACAGGUGGUCAGGUAGAGAAUACCAAGGCGCUUGAGAGAACUCGGGUGAAGGAACUAGGCAAAAUGGUGCCGUAACUUCGGGAGAAGGCACGCUGACAUGUAGGUGAAGUGAUUUACUCAUGGAGCUGAAGUCAGUCGAAGAUACCAGCUGGCUGCAACUGUUUAUUAAAAACACAGCACUGUGCAAACACGAAAGUGGACGUAUACGGUGUGACGCCUGCCCGGUGCCGGAAGGUUAAUUGAUGGGGUCAGCGCAAGCGAAGCUCCUGAUCGAAGCCCCGGUAAACGGCGGCCGUAACUAUAACGGUCCUAAGGUAGCGAAAUUCCUUGUCGGGUAAGUUCCGACCUGCACGAAUGGCGUAAUGAUGGCCAGGCUGUCUCCACCCGAGACUCAGUGAAAUUGAACUCGCUGUGAAGAUGCAGUGUACCCGCGGCAAGACGGAAAGACCCCGUGAACCUUUACUAUAGCUUGACACUGAACAUUGAGCCUUGAUGUGUAG
rnacentral:rRNA from 1 species